rnacentral:rRNA from 1 species
GCCUAUGGCCAUGCUACCCUGAACAUGUCUGAUCCCGUCUGAUCGUGAAAGCUAAGCAGGGUCGGUCUUGGUUAGUACUUGGAUGGGAGACCUCCUAGGAAGACCAGGUGCUGUAGGUG